rfam:Arabis alpina cultivar Pajares Aa.chr7_contig_288, whole genome shotgun sequence.
UCCUAUUCUAUUUUGUUUCUUUUAACUAGAACACGAUAUAUAGAAGAUUAGCAUGGCACGUGCGCAAGGAUGAUAUGCAACAACAACAUUUUAAUAUAUAUGUUU